UUGCUCUCUAUCCUCCCACGGUAUUCUGUUGUUGAAGAUGUCGGCUCCGGCACCGGCACCAGCACCAGCACCUCCAGCUCCGUACGCCGGCGGUUCCCUCUGGCGGCUCAGCCGGAGAUGAUGAAAGCGGCGCACUCACACUUUAUUGCUGGUUUCUUGACAAGAGACUCAAGAAUCGUGGAAAGGAAGAAACCGACAUAAAUAAAGUCUGACAACGAACCUUAUACUGGAGAUUGAGAAGUUGAACUUAGUAAUCGUGGGGCUCGCUAUGGAAAAUGAUGAAGAAAAAGAAAGAUUAAAUGGAAUUAUUGCGGGGUUGUUGGCUGAAAAAGAAAAAUAUAAGGUUGAUAAAGAUGCUAUGCUCGAUAGGAUGUCACAAAUUGAAGCUAUGUUAACAAGUACAGUUCGAAGAUAAGCUAUAAACACUUGGUUUUGAAUGUUUCGAUGUUUAUCAUAUUAAGAUAUUUUAUUUAUUUAAUGUUUGAGUU
rnacentral:lncRNA from 1 species